AAGGGAGACCUAAUUCGGGUAGAAGACGAAAAAAUAGUAGUCGAAACCAAGAAUCAAUCCCAAAAGGUCGGAACGAGGUAUGUGGCUUUCAAACUAGGUUCUGGGUUCACAAAAGACCUGAAUCAGGAACAAGGGCUAUUAGCUCAGGUGGUUAGAGCGCACCCCUGAUAAGGGUGAGGUCCCUGGUUCGAAUCCAGGAUGGCCCACCUGCACAGGUGGCAAAAACAAGAGAAACGAGGAAUCAGCACCUUAUCUUACUUACAUAGUAAGAGAGAAUGCUGGCUCUGAGUAAAGAGUCCAGAGGAACCUUGAAAACUGCAUAGAGCUAGGUGAAAAAGCCAAAAAAGAAGACCGCAA
rnacentral:tRNA from 1 species